AUAAGUUAGGAUAAACCCACAAACUUUUACAUUUCAUUUACAAGUUAUUGUUGCAUAAGUUAGGAUAAAACCACAAACUACAGAAAACGAUCAUUAGCGUUUGAUUUACUUUACACACACUUGAUAAUACAUGAUAAUUCCAUUCAUGAUUAUUUGCAUUUCAUGGUAGAAAAUAAUCAAAAUUAAUCAAAAUUAAAGCUGACAAAUAAUUUUUACCCCCUCCACAGAGUAAUUCACAAAACUCUGAAGCAAUUUUGACAAUUCUCUCUCUCAGGUAUUAUUUCAAACACCUUGACUCCAUAACUAAAACAACACAAAUCAACGAAUAGUUAUUUCAGAAAAUUUCAAGAAGCCAUACCAAAUUAGCCAAUUUUUCAAACACCUUGCCUUGCUAAUUCCCUUUUUUUUUUUAAUUUUCUGAGAAGUAUCCGUAUCUCUUUUAUGUCGUUGGCUGCCGCUUUCAAUGAAGCUUUUGCUUUUUGGUUGAGACGGCUAAUGGGAUAAAAGACAAGUUUUACUUUUAGCCCAAGAACCUGCAAAAUGUUAGACUCUGUUUAAUGGUCAAGUCCAAGCCGAGAUCUUUCAUUAAUUUGGCUGCACAGGAAACCUAAAGACAGAUGAUGAUGGGCUAACCAUAUCAAUCUUAGGACAAUUAAUUUAAAGUUCAAAAUAAAUUUUACACCGCACUCCUAAAAGAUUUGAUUCGUUGUAUUGGGUUCCCAAUUCCGUUAAUUUUUCACUUAUUUCUAAUGGCUCCAUCUAACUUUUGAUUGCAUUUUGUAUUUACGUUAAUACCCUCCAAUAAAAGGUUCAU
rnacentral:lncRNA from 1 species